CCCUAGGUAGCUGCUAGACCAGAAGAGCAGUUUAGGAUGAGCACCUGUUAUGUGGUUUAGGGUGAAAGCAGGGCAGAUUAUGGUACAACAAGCUGAUAUCAUACCAUGCCUAGAAGCCAGCUAAUUUAAAUAUUCUGAAGAAGAGGGGAGAAUGAAAAGGGCAGUGUGGAAAUGCAGCGCCAAUGACAGACUAUGCCCCUGAGUUCACAUUCUAUACUCUAUUAUAAUAAUUUUUGUACAAGCUGGAAAUGCUUCUCAAACUGGGGAGAAGACUGUAAAAAGAAGAGUCACUCCUCUCCUUGCCUAUCUCAUUCACUACACCUGAAGAGACAAAGGAAUCAGAUGUUGGCCUCUUGGGGAAGGGUCCUGACCUAAAGAGUUUGGUCCAUAAGACUGCUGAAAGCAUGUGGUCACGCUGCAGGGACUAGCAAGCAAUGGCAAACCUCGCAGGAGGACUGGAAAGAUCUAAUUGAACAAAGAUUGAAACACUAUUUCCCCCAAAUUGAGCAUGUGGUUAGAC